UACAGGGAGGGGAGCAGCUGUUCGGUUCGAAUUACUGGGCGUAAAGGGCGCGUAGGCGGCCUUCUAAGUCGAACGUGAAAUCCCCGGGCUCAACCCGGGAACUGCGUCCGAGACUGGAAGGCUUGAAUCCGGGAGAGGGAUGUGGAAUUCCUGGUGUAGCGGUGAAAUGCGCAGAUAUCAGGAGGAACACCGGUGGCGAAGGCGGGUCUCUGGGCCGUAACUGACGCUGAGGAGCGAAAGCGUGGGGAGCGAACAGG
rnacentral:rRNA from 1 species